rnacentral:lncRNA from 1 species
GAAGGAAAUCUGUAAUCUUAAGAAAUUCGAGUGGUCGGUUUUUACACGGACUGCCUCUUAAACGGCCAACCGGCUUAUUUUUUCAUGCUCUUUCAGAUGAAGCAAUAAAAAUUUUGAUUGCCAAUGUCCUUUAAAUUAACCUAUCAAACAUGUGAGGGAGCGGUCGUGCCUGCUCGAAGCACAGCCGAGCCAGCUCUAUGGCCGAGAGUAUGGUCGGAGCCGAUUCGAGUUUGUGCGAAUGUUAAGAGCCCGCUCAGAAAGAAGUCGAGGCACGUCGUCAGGUGGAAGAACCAGCUCGGAGAUCGCCAUAGUGAAUCUACGUUGUGACGCCAACGUAAUUUUGAAUAUUUAAUGAGUGUAUUGCCUCAAAACUGAUGUGUUGCAGCACCUUGCAUAGCGUCGCCUAACAGAUCGGACUGUAUCUAAAUUUCUCAUGAAAAGUAACUCAAAACAAAGCUAUUUGCGAGGUUUAAAACUAGGCUACGUUUACUCUAUACCUGAUAACUCUCUGUAGCGGCGCGAAAAGCACCUUUCCGAUACGGAAUGUAUACAGCUAUUUCAAUUAAGGUUGUCCCCGAGCAAAGCCGAAAAGUCGAAUACAAACACGAUAGGCUUGCUGGGAAUCGCUAAAAAAUUAAUGAAUUUUUAGCAAUUCCCAGCAAGCCUUUCUCGCUCGUAUUCGACUUUUCCGCUUUGCUCGCGGACAACCUUAAUUGAAAUAACUGUACAACUUUCAGAGGCUGAGGCAAACAACAUCUCUCCGUUGCAAUAAUUCCUCUGAAAAUAGCGUUCCUAAAGCCUGGUUUCCAUACGGUCGUAAAAAUAGAGUCACGAUCUUUCUCAACGGCCAGUUUAUAACAGUUUAUGCCUGUAAACCCCAUAUAAAUAAACAUAUUCUCUAGUUCUAAUCAUUCCGUGUAUUUUCAGUUCUACAUUGUCGUUAUUUCGGCUGAUGAGAAAGAUCGUGACUCAAUCUUUACGACCGUUACGACCAUAUGGAAACCAGGCUUGAAAGAUAGAUAUUUUGUCAGGUCACUGCGGAAAACUAUAUCCGGUUCAGUAUAAACGUAGCCUGAAAUAGACAGGAGUAUCGAUUCUCUUGGAAUAUAAAUAUAUCUAAAGUAAAUAGAAUAAAUCACACACAUUUAGUACCAACAUAGUGUCAUUUAUUGAUUUUCCAUUGAUCAAGUUUGCUCGCCGGUAGCUACUAGGUGAAUGUCUUUUAACAAACACAACUUCUCCAGUAACUGCUUUAGUUAUUUCUUAUUUUCAAAUACAAACAUGCUGUUGACUAAAACCUCUAUCAACAAGUGUUUUUAUUUACACUUAUUAAGUUUCAUGUUUCAAAUGUGUUGUUGAGCCUAAGGUAUGUACUGCAUGAAGUCUAACAGUAUUACAAUAUUCAAAACAUGUUCACAAGUUCUAUCACAACGAAGGUUUCUUUUGCGAGUGUUCUCGUGUUCUGCUUCUUCAUUCUUCUGUAGCAUGGUUUUAAAUCUCAUGGCGUGUCAACUCUCAGGCUUGCAAACUUCAUUCACAGGGCCAGCAUCCCCAAAUUUCGCCGAUUGUGUAAUACUUUUGCUUCAUGUAUGUCCAUCACGAGAGACACGAUGUUUCGCUGCAGUUUGAAACUUGUUUUGGAAGAGAUAAUCACAACUCAACUGUCACAUAAUGGCAAUGUUAUGGAAAGGAAGUCGUGUCUUGGAAAGACAAUUCCACGGGAGAAAGGAAGAUAACAAAUGACUGACAUAUAACUGGGGAAAUAUCAACUUCAAAUGAACAAUUUUUGACAUUGGUUUACUUGAACAAAUGCAUGUGAUGAGCAUUUCUGACUCUUUCUUUAGAAAAUCUAUUCUUUAAAGCCUUGUCCUAACUGCGACGCAAACAAUUAAAGCAUAAGAGUUAAGGAUCAAACGUAUCGACUUCUUAUGCGUUCUUUUCGCUUAUGUUGUUGUUUAUGCUUGCGCUUUAUGUUGCGUUGUAUCGAGGACAUAGUGAAAACACAAGCAUAAGAACAUCAAAGCGUUCUGCUUGUUUAUUAUCAUUGCGGUCAUACUUGCGUUGUAUUGAGGACAUAGAGAAAACACAAGCAUAAGAACAUCAAAGCGUUCUGCUUGUUUAUUAUCAUUGCGGUCAUGCUUGCGUUGUAGUGAGGACAUAG